AUUGAAUAUGAGGCAGACUAUUUUACACAUAGGUUUAAGACAGCCUCUGGACUACAUAGAUUCCAUCACAAAAGGGAAAAUUUUUUCUAAGUGUGCAAAUGCUUUCUUGAGCUAUCAUUAUAUAGUGAGACCCAAUAAUAAGAGAAAAUAUCUAUAAUCUAUUCCUAAUAGCUAUAGAUGUAAAAAUAAAUAUCUGUAUUCUACAUAGAAUAUCUAUACUCUGCCUUCAUGCUUUUUAUUAUAGAAGGUAAUAACAUUUUCAUCUAAUUAGGAUAUAUGUGUGUGUGUAUGUGUGUGUAUAUGCUAAAUUCUGAUAAAUAUACCUCAGUGGUAGAUUUCAUGAAUAACGUGCAUCAGGCACUGUUAUAUACCCAACACCAAAAAAAAAAAGCCACCAAAGCACAAAUUAAGUUCACAUACUUGUAAUCUAAUCUAAUAUAUUGAAGUAAAUUGGACACUGAAUGAUCUUUGAAGGUGAGCCUUUUUUUUUUUAAAAAGGGGAAACUAUGAAGGGUUAUGUUUUUAAGUCAUGGUUUAUUGUUAGGAAGUAAAAGUUUAUGUAUUCUGAGCUUAUAUUCACUAAUAUUGGUGAUGUUUUUUCCUUGUUCAUCCCAGACUGAAAGUUUUACUCCAUAGUGGACAACUCAAAUAGAAAUGUUUCUAUUUAUGUUCCAUGUGCAUAUUUUUCAAGUGGAGCAAAAACUUUCCAGUUAACAUACUUAUUAGAUGGGGCCUCCUUUGUAUAUUCCCAAGAAUACUGUUGGAUCUCAGUGACCUUGGUUUGUCAUUGGGGUUCCCCCCCCCCCCCCCCCAGGGUUCCCCUCUAUCCAUCCCACUCUGCCUCUUUUAAUGGUAAACUGAAGAGUUUAUAGAUGUUUGUUAUGGUAGAAUUGUAUUUUUGUGGCUUGAUUGAUUGAUUUGAUUUUAGUAUUUAAGAUAGUCAAGUUUUUUAUUUAGUGUUUUGUAAUUGCCAAUAAUAUUUUGUGUGUGUGUGUGAUUAAUGCUGCUAGUUAAUAUUUUUUGUUUUUAUUUUUUCCUUAAAUUUUGCUUUUAAUAGAAUGAUGCCAAUGGGUGGAAUGAUGCCACCUGGACCUGGAAUACCACCUCUGAUGCCAGGUAUGCCACCAGGUAUGUAUGAAGUGUUAAACAAUUGCUUUUGUAAUGUGUCUGAUAGCAUUCCUAAGUUUAAAAUUCUAUUACAUGUUGAAAGAAGAUUGGUGAAUGGGUGGGGUGUGAUGCCAUGUAGCAUCAAUACCUUCACUUUAAUUCUAGCAGAGAGACAGGCUGGUAUCUAGAGCUCCAGAUAGACUAUUCACAGUUGGCUCCAAGCCAGCUAGGGCUAUGUGAUGAGAUCCUACCUCAAAAACCAAAGUUGGACAAACCAGUGAUAAUCAGUAAGAUUAUAGGUGGAGUCUAGGGACACUGGUUUGCACUUAAGAUUCUAAAGUUGUAAAAUGAAGAGACAGUUUGAAGAACUAUAGUGAGGAACAAAUAUAAUAAAGAAUUGAUUUCAUGUGAACGAGAUUUUUUUUUAUAUUCUUGGGAAUCAUUUUUGCUGCAGGUAUGCCCCCACCUGUUCCACGUCCUGGAAUUCCUCCAAUGACUCAAGCACAGGCUGUUUCAGCACCAGGUAUUCUUAAUAGACCACCUGCACCAACAGCAGCAGUACCUGCUCCACAGCCUCCAGUUACUAAGCCUCUUUUCCCCAGUGCUGGACAGGUAAGGUGAAAUUCUUGAAAAGGAGUAUAUUGUAUGUUUAAGGUAAAAUGGCUUGUUCACAGAUAACCUUGAAAUUGUUAGAUUAUGUGAUCUAUUAAAAUAGAGCCUAUCAUUUGCUAUAUUUAUACUUUGAUUUCCUCUGUUCACAGCAGGUAGAAAGGAAUCAGAUAUUUUUCCAAAGAUGUGGAUUCUUUAGCUGUCGCUAGAUGUGAGAGUCGAAUUUCUGAGGACUUAUGUAACUGAUGUUUCCAGGUCCUCCUCUCUUGUUGAAGGGAGUGGAAUUAGGUUGGAGCCAACAAUAAGACCUUAGGCAUGGUGGUAGUGGCACAUGGCCUUUUAACACAGCUUUCAAGAGCAGAGUCAGGUGAAUCUUUUGAAUUAAAGGCUUUUGGGAAGUCAGUGGCUACAUAGAACUCCCGUGAAAAUCAAAAAAGAAUACAGCAAGACAUUUGGCGGGUGUUUGUUCUCAUUUACAACCGCAGUAAAUUGCAGUGCUACACUUGAGUUGGAAGUCAUUAUUUAAUGACUUUUAAUAUUGCUAUUUGCUUCCAUCAAUUUCUAGAAGAUGAGUGGGCUAGAUAUAUGAUGGCCAAAUUUUCUUACAUGUCAUUUAGAAUUAAGUAUAUGUAUUUAAAAAAGGAUCAAGGUUUGUUUGUUUUUUAAAUGCUUAACCCUUAGAUUUUUCACUUGUUUCUGGGUGCUUAAUUUUAGUUGCCUAAAUUCUUGUGUUAAUGGAAGUUUUAUUUAUGGAUAUGUUAAACUUUUAUCAGAAUCUGUAGGCUCAUUGUAUAGGGCAUUUGCAUAGAGAACUGUCAUUUGGAGUUUAUGUUAAGAUUCUUGAACUAAUGCAAUCUCCAACAUUAAGUCUAGAAACUUAUGUUUAACUAGUUGUAUUGGUGUAGAGAUACUUUUUUGAGGCAUAUACUUUUUUCUGUCAAUUGAAAAGUACAUUAACUGCCUCUUUAAAUGACAUUUGAUUGCAUUACAAUCUGCAUUUAUAAACAAUGCAAUCUAUACUAAAAAGUGCCACAUGGCAUGUUUUACCCAUUUGUUCGGAGACGGUUCAUUGUUUCCUUUCUUUUAUGCUACAGAUGGGGACACCUGUAACAAGCUCAAGUACAGCUUCAUCCAAUUCAGAAAGUCUGUCUGCAUCUUCUAAAGCUCUGUUUCCUAGCACAGCACAAGUACGCAGGAAGUUGCAGUUUAAAAUUGUUAAAAUGGCUUUACAACUUAACCCUUUGGACCCUUUAUGAAAGCUAAUCUUACCAAUAUAUUUAGGUUUUUUUUUUUAGAAGUAAAACAAAUACUACAACUCAUCCUGUUUGCAAAUUUGAAUUCAUAUUAAUGAUUCCAACAAAGUAACUCUAAACUUCUGUGGCUCUAAAGGGUUAAAAGCAUGUGAGCAGUAAUGAACUAUAGUGGCCAAUGGUUAGCCUUGAUGCAUGGUUAAGCUACUUUUGAUUAAUGCUGUUUAAUGCGUCACAUCUUUAUGUAAGAAAGUUAGCACUCUGCAUUUGUUUCUAAGGUUGAUCUAGUUAACAUUUUAAACACUUGUAUCAUGAAAGUAAUAUGUGCUACUGUUAACUUUAUUUAGAACCUGUGCCAUUAACCCUUUUGUCUAUACUGUGUUCUAGUCCUUACUAAUUGGAGGGUAGUGUGCUGCUCUCUGUAGAACACUUGCGUAGUUGGUGACAAUGAUGAGUCACUAUUACCGGGAGGUUUUUAAUGCUUACAAAGGGGUUUAUUAUCCCAGCCUAUAGCUUCAAUUUUUUGAGCUGCUUAAAAGAUGAAUUAUUAGCCAGGUGUGGUGGCGCACGCCUUUGAUCCCAGCACUUGGGAGGCAGAGGCAGCUGGAUUUCUGAGUUUGAGGCCAGCCUGGUCUACAAAGUUCCAGGACAGCCAGGGCUACAGAGAAACCCUGUCUCCAAAACCCCCCCCCCCCCCC
rnacentral:lncRNA from 1 species